UACGGAGGGUGCGAGCGUUGUCCGGAAUCACUGGGCGUAAAGGGCGCGUAGGCGGCGCGGGCAGUCAACGGUGAAAGCUUGGGGCUCAACCCCGAGUCGGCCGUCGAUACUCCCGGGCUGGAGCACUGUAGAGGCAGGUGGAAUUCCGGGUGUAGCGGUGGAAUGCGUAGAGAUCCGGAAGAACACCGGUGGGGAAGGCGGCCUGCUGGGCAGUAGCUGACGCUGAGGCGCGACAGCGUGGGGAGCAAACAGG
rnacentral:rRNA from 1 species